rnacentral:rRNA from 1 species
CACGGUAAACGAUGGAUGCCCGCUAUCGGCGCCUGGCGCCGGUGGCCAAGCGAAAGCAUUAAGCAUCCCACCUGGGGAGUACGCCGGCAACGGUGAAACUCAAAGGAAUUGACGGGGGCCCGCACAAGCGGAGGAACAUGUGGUUUAAUUCGAUGAUACGCGAGGAACCUUACCCGGGCUUGAAUUACUGAGGAAAGAUCCAGAGAUGGUGAUGCCCUUCGGGGCGCUGGUGGAGGUGCUGCAUGGUUGUCGUCAGCUCGUGCCGUGAGGUGUCGGCUUAAGUGCCAUAACGAGCGCAACCCUUUUCAUUAGUUGCCAUCAGGUGAUGCUGGGCACUCUGGUGAUACUGCCACCGUAAGGUGUGAGGAAGGUGGGGAUGACGUCAAAUCAGCACGGCCCUUACGUCCGGGGCUACACACGUGUUACAAUGGGUGGUACAGAGGGCAGGAUGCACGCAAGUGCGUUCAAAUCUUAAAAGCCAUCCUCAGUUCGGAUUGGGGUCUGCAACCCGACC